rnacentral:tRNA from 1 species
GCCCGGAUGGCGAAAUUGGUAGACGCACCAGCUUCAGGUGCUGGCGGCUGAAAGGCCGUGGAAGUUCGAGUCUUCUUCCGGGCA